rnacentral:rRNA from 1 species
GGGAGGCAGCAGUGGGGAAUAUUGGACAAUGGGCGAAAGCCUGAUCCAGCGACGCCGCGUGGGUGAAGAAGGCCUGCGGGUUGUAAAGCCCUUUCGGUUGGGAAGAAAAGUAUUGGCCUAAUACGCUAGUACCUUGACGUAACCAACAAAAGAAGCACCGGCUAACUCUGUGCCAGCAGCCGCGGUAAUACAGAGGGUGCAAGCGUUAAUCGGAAUUACUGGGCGUAAAGCGCGCGUAGGCGGCUUGACAAGUCGAGUGUGAAAUCCCCGGGCUUAACCUGGGACCUGCAUUCGAAACUGUCUUGCUAGAGUAUGGGAGAGGGAAGUGGAAUUUCAGGUGUAGCGGUGAAAUGCGUAGAUAUCUGAAGGAACAUCAGUGGCGAAAGCGACUUCCUGGACCAAUACUGACGCUCAGGUGCGAAAGCGUGGGGAGCAAACAGGAUUAGAUACCCUGGUAGUCCACGCCAUAAACGAUGACAACUAGAUGUUGGGAGGGUUAGCCUCUCGGUGUCGUAGCUAACGCGUUAAGUUGUCCGCCU